UACGUAGGGUGCGAGCGUUGUCCGGAAUUAUUGGGCGUAAAGGGCUCGUAGGCGGUCUGUCACGUCGGGAGUGAAAACACGGGGCUUAACCCCGUGCCUGCUUCCGAUACGGGCAGACUAGAGGUAUGCAGGGGGAGAACGGAAUUCCUGGUGUAGCGGUGAAAUGCGCAGAUAUCAGGAGGAACACCGGUGGCGAAGGCGGUUCUCUGGGCAUUACCUGACGCUGAGGAGCGAAAGCGUGGGGGAGCAAACGGG
rnacentral:rRNA from 1 species